AAAAGAAGCGAUCCAGGGUUCCAUGCAUGAACACUGUUCUAUAUAUAUCUACAGUCCUUCACCAUCUUCAUCAACUCAAACUUUCAUCUGAUACACACACACACACACACACACUGAUAAAUCUUAUUAUUACCAAGCAUACGGCUGCCUCAAUUUUCAAGUUCACUGUCUUCCUCUGCAUUGCCCUUGUCCUUUUCUCUCCCAGCGAGAAUAAUAUUGCGGAAGCAAAACUGUGUAGAAGACUGAGCAGCACAUUUUCUGGGUUUUGUGGUCGCAAUUGUCCAUGUGAUGUUAAAUGCUUAAGAGAGGGUGCUGUUUCAGGAAGCUGCCAUGUUCAUGGUUUUGGACGUGCUUGCUUCUGCUACCGCAAAUGUUGAAGGAGGGAACCUUUCACGUGCCUUCCUCGUACCUAUCUCUCUAAUGCCGUGAUUGAAUAAAAUAAAUAGUGCUUCUGUACGUUAAAAGUUCUACGCAUCAGGACUUGUCUUGUCUGGCUCUGUGUCCCUAUCUCGCGUGUGUUUCUUUUUUUAACUUUUCCAUGCUCUUUCUGGUGGUUUUAUGUCUUUUAUAGUGAUAUUGUGCCAGUACUUUCUAGUCCUUUUGGCUAAAACAAAGAGGAGUUUGGUA